rnacentral:lncRNA from 1 species
CUUAUAUGUGAAUUUACUUACACAGUUAGUGUGUGCCUAUUGUCUUUGGUGGAAUUGUUGGAUUUGAUGUGAACAGAAGCUAUGUCUUUCCUCAGGGGAUUCUGGCAGUUAUCACCUUGAUAGGAAGUGGGGUAGAAGAUAGUGUGUCUAGGGCCAGAGCAAGGCAGAUGGUGUGGCAUCUCCUUUCCUCAGUGCUCAUUACCUUCCUAUCAGGGGUGAUGUUGAAUCCCAAGGUGAUGGAGCUGAAGCCCCAAGUGUCUACAGCCAGCGGUCUAUGUUCCCUUUAAGUGUGUGCUCUUCCCUCUCCCAGCUCUGAUACCUUUGCUCCAGAGGUUGGAGCCCUCAGCUCGUGACAGUGUACAGACUGUGGCAGGCCAAUUAGAGAUAGAGGUCUGGGCUGUUUCCAACAUGUAGCCUGCGUAAGUGUCAGCGAUGGCGGCCCCCAUUGCAUCUGAGUCUCUCUUGCCCCUCUAGGUGAUCACUUCCCCAAGCUUAGCCCCGCCCCUCCCACUUUCUGCUGUAGAGCUGUGUCACAAUGUAGGCGGGGCCCUCCUGGGCUCUCAGCAUGCACUCGAACAUGGGUUGGGGCUGUCUCGGCCUCUGUUAGAGAUUGGAGACCACUCCAUGGUGUGCUCCCUGCGUGAACUCCAUCAGUGGCUGUCCCUGCCCACUCAGAUGCUGCUUAUGCCAGUCAGAGUUGCCUCUGUGUCCGGGGACCAGGCACUCUCCCUGCUUGAGGAGGAAAUAAAUGUCAGCAAUUCAACAUUCAAAAAGGCAACAAUCACAAUGCCAGAUGACCAAAGCAAUAACUUUCUGAAGAUAACGGGCAAGUAA